rnacentral:rRNA from 1 species
GACAGCAGUAGCCGCGGGAAUACGUAGGUCCCGAGCGUUGUCCGGAUUUAUUGGGCGUAAAGCGAGCGCAGGCGGUUAGAUAAGUCUGAAGUUAAAGGCUGUGGCUUAACCAUAGUACGCUUCGGAAACUGUUUAACUUGAGUGCAAGAGGGGCGAGUGGAAUUCCAUGUGUAGCGGUGAAAUGCGUAGAUAUAUGGAGGAACACCGGUGGCGAAAGCGGCUCUCUGGCUUGUAACUGACGCUGAGGCUCGAAAGCGUGGGGAGCAAACAGGAUUAGAUACCCCCGUAGUCCCUGUCUCUUAUACA